ACAAUAUACAAGGUGCUGCAUGGUUGUCGUCAGCUCGUGUCGUGAGAUGUUGGGUUAAGUCCCGCAACGAGCGCAACCCUCGCCCUUAGUUGCCAGCAUUAGUUGGGCACUCUAAGGGGACUGCCGGUGAUAAGCCGAGAGGAAGGUGGGGAUGACGUCAAGUCCUCAUGGCCCUUACGGGCUGGGCUACACACGUGCUACAAUGGUGGUGACAGUGGGCAGCGAGCACGCGAGUGUGAGCUAAUCUCCAAAAGCCAUCUCAGUUCGGAUUGCACUCUGCAACUCGAGUGCAUGAAGUUGGAAUCGCUAGUAAUCGCGGAUCAGCAUGCCGCGGUGAAUACGUUCCCGGGCCUU
rnacentral:rRNA from 1 species